rnacentral:sRNA from 1 species
UAGCAAAUGUACAAAGGAUGGAGAUGG